GUUCUCAGCAGUGGCAGAAUCACUGGAUUGGUGUAGAGAGGUGAAGAACAUGAAAGGCGUGGAGUUGUAACUUGGAGGCAGACUCUACACAUCUUGCUGAUGGAUGCAUGUGGACUGUGACAGACCUCGUGUGGCACCUGGGUUUCUGCUGGAGCAACAUCCCAGUCUCCUGGAAGAAGAAAGAACGAGCCAUCUCCUUCCUGCAGCAUGCAGAGGGGCUGGAGGACAAGCAGCCCCUGCAAGCCCAGGAGUUUACCAUCGCAUCCUGCCAACAGCUAUCUGUUUCUUUGUCCCCUGAGCCCCUGGCCCGCACCUCACUAUAAGGGGAGAAUAUGGCACUUUGACCCUACACAGUCCUAUUGUGCAGAAGCAAGUGAGUCUGGGUUGCUGGGAUGGAGUGGGUAAAAAUUUUAAACCAGAAGCUUGAGGUGUCUUUCCAGUAACUAUUCCCCAGAACUGAGCAUACACCCAACCCCAAGGAGAAAGGAAGAGGUC